rnacentral:rRNA from 1 species
CCCUUAGAUGUUCUGGGCCGCACCCGCGCUACACUGAAGGAGGCAGCGUGUACUCCUGGAUCGAAAGAUUUGGGUAACCCGCGAAUCUCCUUCGUGCUAGGGAUUGAGGUUUGCAAUUAUCCUUUAUGAACGAGGAAUUCCCAGUAAGUGCAAGUCAUAAGCUUGCGCUGACUACGUCCCUGCCCUUUGUACACACCACCCGUCGCUACUACCGAUUGAAUGAUUUAGUGAGGACUUCGGACUGGGACCGAUGCGGCUUUCGGGCUGCGUCGGUAUUCUGGAAAGAUGUCCAAACUGUAUCAUUUAGAGGAAGUAAAAGUCGUAACA